GAUGAACGCUGGCGGCGUGCCUAAUACAUGCAAGUCGAGCGAACGGACGAGAAGCUUGCUUCUCUGAUGUUAGCGGCGGACGGGUGAGUAACACGUGGAUAACCUACCUAUAAGACUGGGAUAACUUCGGGAAACCGGAGCUAAUACCGGAUGAUAUUUUGAACCGCAUGGUUCAAAAGUGAAAGACGGUCUUGCUGUCACUUAUAGAUGGAUCCGCGCUGCAUUAGCUAGUUGGUAAGGUAACGGCUUACCAAGGCAACGAUGCAUAGCCGACCUGAGAGGGUGAUCGGCCACACUGGAACUGAGACACGGUCCAGACUCCUACGGGAGGCAGCAGUAGGGAAUCUUGCGCAAAGGGCGAAAGCCUGACGGAGCAACGCCGCGUGAGUGAUGAAGGUCUUCGGAUCGUAAAACUCUGUUAUUAGGGAAGAACAUAUGUGUAAGUAACUGUGCACAUCUUGACGGUACCUAAUCAGAAAGCCACGGCUAACUACGUG
rnacentral:rRNA from 1 species